AAUCAACGCUGGCGGCGUGCCUCAGACAUGCAAGUCGAACGAGAAAGUUCCCUUCGGGGAAUGAGUAAAGUGGCGCACGGGUGAGUAACACGUAGGUAAUCUACCUUCGGGUGGGGAAUAACCCAGGGAAACUUGGGCUAACACCGCAUAAUGCAGCGGCACCACAUGGUGACAGUUGUUAAAGCGGGGGAUUUUAGGACCUCGCGCCUGAAGAGGAGCCUGCGGCGGAUUAGCAGUUGGUAGGGUAACGGCUUACCAAGGCGACGAUCCGUAACCGGCCUGAGAGGGCGGUCGGUCACACUGACACUGACAUACGGGUCAGACUCCUACGGGAGGCAGCAGUCGGGAAUUUUGGGCAAUGGGCGAAAGCCUGACCCAGCAACGCCGCGUGAAGGAUGAAAUCCCUCGGGAUGUAAACUUCGCAAAGAUUGGGAAGAAUUAGUAGGGGUUAAUACCCUCUAUGAUGACGGUACCUUUUGUAAGCUCCGGCUAACUCCGUGCCAG
rnacentral:rRNA from 1 species